rnacentral:lncRNA from 1 species
AAUGCUGCUGAGGACACAACAGGAGACUCGACAGACGGGAGAAUUCCCGAAAAAGGCCUGCUGAGAGGACAGGCUUCCCCAGCUCUGACCACAGCCUGCAGCCCAGAUGACCCAGGACAGGGAUGCAUGAAGGAGCAUAGUCAGAGCAGUGCCCGCCGCGGUAUUGAAGGUGGGAGUGCCACCUGGAGGCCCCAGGGACACAGAUGUGAGUAGCUGGGCAGAGGGCUGGUGGCUCUGCACAGAGCCCAGUGGGAAAAGUGACGGGGGUGCAGAGGGGCCGUGGGAAGCCCCCAGGCCGCGGUGCCCGGGAGCAGAUGUGCAAAGUACAUGAUGUGGCUGAGCCACAGUCCUGCCUGCGGGAAGGCCUGGCAGGACCCGCCCACUCACCCGUGCUGAGAGGACAGCGUCCGCAGGUUGUUUUCUGGAGUGAGGGUCACCACCACCCCCACGACGUUCUUCAUGUCCUUCUCCAUGGCAAAGCCCUUUUCCCGGGAGGCCACCGCAAGCACGUACCAGGGCCCAAGAAGCUGCAUUGAGGCGGCUCCCGUUAGGGCCGCCAGCCCUCCAGCCUCCAGCCUCCAGCCUCCAACCCUCCAGCCUCAGCCUCCAGCCUCCAAACCUCCAGCCUCAGCCUCCACCCUCCAACCAUCCAGCCCUCCAGCCUCCAGCCUCCAACCCUCCAGCCUCCAGCCUUCCAGCCCUGCAGCCUCCAGCCUCCACCCUCCAACCAUCCAGCCCUCCAGCCUCCAGUCUCCAACCCUCCCGCCCUCCAGCCUCCAACCUUCCAGCCUUGCAGCCUCUAGCCUUCAGUUCUCCAGCCCUCCAGCCUCCAGCUUCCAACCCCCCAGACCUCCAACCCUCCAGCCUCCAGCCUUCCAGCCCUACAGCCUCUAGGCUCCAGCCCUCCAGCCUUCCAACCUCCAGCCUGCAGCCCUGCAGCCUCUAGUCUCCAGCUCUCCAGCCCUCCAGCCUCCAGUUCUGCAGCCCUCCAGCCUCCAGCCCUCCAGCCUCCAGUUCUACAGCCCUCCAGCCUCCAGCCCAGCAGCCUCCAGCCUCCAGUUCUCCAGCCCUACAGCCUCCAGCCCUCCAGCCUCCAGUUCUCCAACCCUACACCCUCCAGCCCUGCAACCUCCAGUCUCCAGCCUCCAAUUCUCCAGCCCUCCAGCCUCCAACCCUCCAGCAUCCACCCCUCCUGCCCUGAGGCUCCUGCCUGUGGGACUCCCCAAGGGCUGGCCCAACUAAUUCCCCACUGCUCAUGCUGGUCUGGGCUAGCCCUGGGGGGCCCAGAAGCUGUGUGGCCUUAAAGGAGGGGCUGGCCCCCGAGGACCAGCUCUCCCCACCCCCAGGAGGACUGUACCUGCUCAGGGUCCAGUCUUCCCAACCACACGGCCUGGGCCCUGGGCACCGAGACCAAAGCCAGAAAAGCAGCCAGCAGCAGGCCGCCCAUCCUCCCAGGUCUACACUGCGCCGCAGGCCCAGGAUGUGCAGUCCCUCCAGGCCCUGGAGACCCGUUUAUAUGGCUCUGAAUUUCUCCGUGUUCCAGAAUGGGCAUCCUAAAGCCAGCCGCACCACCUCCCCCGUUCCUGGGGACCCACGCUCUCCCUCGCCCAGCCUGGGAAGCAGGGAGACUGCUGUCCGCUGCCAGGCCCGGCAGGAGGCCAAGGUCAAGCCCAAGGAGAGGAACCAGGGCGAGAACAAGUGGUUCUCAGGAACUGCGGUUUUGGAUAUCUUUUGUUUCAAUCAUUAAAUAUAAAAAGUCCCUGAAAGCCUUUUGAAAAAGGCUCCCACCUCCUCCUGGCCCACCCACCAUUCUGCUUUGUGGCCUGGCCUCUGUCCCCCACAGCCAGCACCCCCAGAACAGACUGUCCUGUUCCUUCCACCUCUGCAGCCCACCAUCCGGCCCUGCUGCCUCCUGCCUCCCCUCCCUGGGACCCUGGCCUGCUUGUGCCUCCCAAGGCCCCUUGAGAGCUCUCUGCAGCCCCAGUCCGGGAGCAGAGGACAGAGGUGCUCGGCAGGGUCUAUCUGAGCCCCUGAAGCCCACUGGGAGGCAGCCGGGAGGGUCCUCCCCCAGUGCCGUGGCCUGCACCCUCUGGGAUUCACUCCCACACACCUUCGCUCAUUCAUCAACAAGGGUGCAAGGAGCACGUCCAUGCAACAAGGCUCCAGUGCCCAGGGCCGCCUGCACUCACAGAGCUUAUGCUGCAGCCCUGGCCACCUGCCCUGUACCCACGCAGCAGGGCCUGUGACCACCAGAGUGCAGGAGGAAGGCAGAAACCACACAGCUACUGGGGGCUGGGCCUGCGAAGACUGACCGGGCAGUGGGGCCACGGAGGUGCCAGCCACAGCCAUGGCAAGCAGGAGUUGCCCAGGGGCUGAGCCACAGAACAAGGGAGCGGGACACUUAGGCCUGGAGCCUUCAGGAGGGAGCCGUGGCUGCUCGCGGUAAUCCCAGCACUUCAGGAGGCUGAGGCGGGAGGAUCACUUGAGUCCAGGAGUUUGAGACCAGCCUGGGCGACAUAGCAAGACUUCGUCUCUACAAGCAAGUUUAAAAAUUAGCUGGACAUGGUGGCGUGCUCCUGUAGUCCCAGCUACUCAGGAAGCUGAGGUAGGAGGAUUGCUUGAGCCCAGGAGGUUGAGGCUGCAGUGAGCUGUGAUCGUGCCACUCCUCUCCAGCCUGGGUGAUGGAGCAAGACCCCAUCUCU